CCCCACGUUAAUUGCAAUGCAAAGGGAGAUGUUGCAUUACGGAUCCUGCCUGGGCUGUGCUGGGCUCUAAUGAAUGCGCCGAGCCUUUGAUCUGGAAACCGUGGUUGGACUCAGCACAGGAAGACUUCAGAGGAUGACUGCCUUUGCUGUGUAUUUUCUGCAGGGAAAUCUGGAACCUGAGAUCUCACCCUUCCUCUGGGAUCUGCUUGUGUAUUGGCGUGUCUGUGCUGGUGCAGAUGGUGGAGCUGAACAUGGCAUAUCUUUGUCCAUCCUGGAGAUGCAGGCAUUGAAUAGUCCUUCUGGAUAUGCAGGCCUGCCAAUUCUUGUCUUUUCUUCUGAGAUUGCUUGCCAGCGUGGAGAUGGCUUUGUGUUGUGAAUUCCUCUUUCACAGUUCUGCUCCAAACUGGGUUACAACCAUCAUGUUGUGCCGAGGUUGCCAUGCAGGUAUCCAUUCAGAAAGAUUUCCAAUGAGAACCAGCAAUGUUUUUCCUUUGCAGUGCUAAUAACAGUUAUUGUAGGAUUCUUCCUGUCCUGGGUGACUUUACAUAAGUGAUUGUGUAUGUGUGUGAGAUAGCAAAGGGGGGAAACAAGCAGAUGGAAGAGUAGUAAUAACUGGGGAGUGGAUGAGUCCACAGCACA
rnacentral:lncRNA from 1 species